AGGCUGAGAACAGUAGAAUUAUUCAGAUUUCAAUGUGUAAAAUAUUUAUCAUUAUGUUACACUUCAAUUUUCAGAUGUAGGUGUUCCUAUAGGGGUCUGUGACUCCAUGGAAGUGGUAACACAAGCUCUUAUGACUGAUGAUCUUUCUUGUGGACUCCAGGAAGCUCUGAAGGCUUUACACAAUCACUAGGUUCUUCUGUGCUUGUUAGCAAAUAACUGUGAUGAACUUGGCUACUCAAAACUUGAGGCUCUGCAUCAGAUCAAGCUCCUGAAAGUUGACUCUCACAAGAAGUUAGGAAUGGGUUGAUGAUGCAGGAUUAGCCCUGAAGAGGAAGGACUUGCAAGAUCAUAAGCUGCUUAUGCCUGCCUUGCCUGACUGAUAGAGAGACCCAGGCUUAUGAUAGUCAGUAUUUCAGCUUUAAGGUGUGCAGUGACAGUGCAAAAGUUCACCAAGUUCAGUGAUAAAUCAGAACUGUUGGAUCUUGUUUUGCUUUUAAGUAGUUAUAUCUUCACAUUGAUAUAAGAUAAAAAAUAAAGAUUGAAAUUUAAAA